UACGUAGGGACCAAGCGUUGUUCGGAUUUAUUGGGCGUAAAGAGCUCGUAGGCGGCUUGUCGCGUCGACUGUGAAAACCUGCGGCUCAACCGUGUGGUCUGCGGUCGAUACGGGCGGGCUAGAGUUCGGUAGGGGAGACUGGAAUUCCUGGUGUAGCAGUGAAAUGCGUAGAUAUCAAGCGGAACACCAGUGGCGAAGGCGAGUCCCUGGACAACACCUGACACUGAGGCACGAAAGCUAGGGGAGCAAACAGG
rnacentral:rRNA from 1 species